rnacentral:rRNA from 1 species
UUAAGCGACUAAGCGUACACGGUGGAUGCCCUGGCAGUCAGAGGCGAUGAAGGACGUGCUAAUCUGCGAUAAGCGUCGGUAAGGUGAUAUGAACCGUUAUAACCGGCGAUUUCCGAAUGGGGAAACCCAGUGUGAUUCGUCACACUAUCAUUAACUGAAUCCAUAGGUUAAUGAGGCGAACCGGGGGAACUGAAACAUCUAAGUACCCCGAGGAAAAGAAAUCAACCGAGAUUCCCCCAGUAGCGGCGAGCGAACGGGGAGGAGCCCAGAGCCUGAAUCAGUGUGUGUGUUAGUGGAAGCGUCUGGAAAGGCGCGCGAUACAGGGUGACAGCCCCGUACACAAAAAUGCACAUGCUGUGAGCUCGAUGAGUAGGGCGGGACACGUGGUAUCCUGUCUGAAUAUGGGGGGACCAUCCUCCAAGGCUAAAUACUCCUGACUGACCGAUAGUGAACCAGUACCGUGAGGGAAAGGCGAAAAGAACCCCGGCGAGGGGAGUGAAAAAGAACCUGAAACCGUGUACGUACAAGCAGUGGGAGCCUCUUUUAUGGGGUGACUGCGUACCUUUUGUAUAAUGGGUCAGCGACUUAUAUUCUGUAGCAAGGUUAACCGAAUAGGGGAGCCGAAGGGAAACCGAGUCUUAACUGGGCGUUAAGUUGCAGGGUAUAGACCCGAAACCCGGUGAUCUAGCCAUGGGCAGGUUGAAGGUUGGGUAACACUAACUGGAGGACCGAACCGACUAAUGUUGAAAAAUUAGCGGAUGACUUGUGGCUGGGGGUGAAAGGCCAAUCAAACCGGGAGAUAGCUGGUUCUCCCCGAAAGCUAUUUAGGUAGCGCCUCGUGAAUUCAUCUCCGGGGGUAGAGCACUGUUUCGGCAAGGGGGUCAUCCCGACUUACCAACCCGAUGCAAACUGCGAAUACCGGAGAAUGUUAUCACGGGAGACACACGGCGGGUGCUAACGUCCGUCGUGAAGAGGGAAACAACCCAGACCGCCAGCUAAGGUCCCAAAGUCAUGGUUAAGUGGGAAACGAUGUGGGAAGGCCCAGACAGCCAGGAUGUUGGCUUAGAAGCAGCCAUCAUUUAAAGAAAGCGUAAUAGCUCACUGGUCGAGUCGGCCUGCGCGGAAGAUGUAACGGGGCUAAACCAUGCACCGAAGCUGCGGCAGCGACACUAUGUGUUGUUGGGUAGGGGAGCGUUCUGUAAGCCUGUGAAGGUGUACUGUGAGGUAUGCUGGAGGUAUCAGAAGUGCGAAUGCUGACAUAAGUAACGAUAAAGCGGGUGAAAAGCCCGCUCGCCGGAAGACCAAGGGUUCCUGUCCAACGUUAAUCGGGGCAGGGUGAGUCGACCCCUAAGGCGAGGCCGAAAGGCGUAGUCGAUGGGAAACAGGUUAAUAUUCCUGUACUUGGUGUUACUGCGAAGGGGGGACGGAGAAGGCUAUGUUGGCCGGGCGACGGUUGUCCCGGUUUAAGCGUGUAGGCUGGUUUUCCAGGCAAAUCCGGAAAAUCAAGGCUGAGGCGUGAUGACGAGGCACUACGGUGCUGAAGCAACAAAUGCCCUGCUUCCAGGAAAAGCCUCUAAGCAUCAGGUAACAUCAAAUCGUACCCCAAACCGACACAGGUGGUCAGGUAGAGAAUACCAAGGCGCUUGAGAGAACUCGGGUGAAGGAACUAGGCAAAAUGGUGCCGUAACUUCGGGAGAAGGCACGCUGAUAUGUAGGUGAAGUCCCUCGCGGAUGGAGCUGAAAUCAGUCGAAGAUACCAGCUGGCUGCAACUGUUUAUUAAAAACACAGCACUGUGCAAACACGAAAGUGGACGUAUACGGUGUGACGCCUGCCCGGUGCCGGAAGGUUAAUUGAUGGGGUCAGCGCAAGCGAAGCUCUUGAUCGAAGCCCCGGUAAACGGCGGCCGUAACUAUAACGGUCCUAAGGUAGCGAAAUUCCUUGUCGGGUAAGUUCCGACCUGCACGAAUGGCGUAAUGAUGGCCAGGCUGUCUCCACCCGAGACUCAGUGAAAUUGAACUCGCUGUGAAGAUGCAGUGUACCCGCGGCAAGACGGAAAGACCCCGUGAACCUUUACUAUAGCUUGACACUGAACAUUGAGCCUUGAUGUGUAGGAUAGGUGGGAGGCUUUGAAGUGUGGACGCCAGUCUGCAUGGAGCCGACCUUGAAAUACCACCCUUUAAUGUUUGAUGUUCUAACGUGGACCCGUGAUCCGGGUUGCGGACAGUGUCUGGUGGGUAGUUUGACUGGGGCGGUCUCCUCCUAAAGAGUAACGGAGGAGCACGAAGGUUGGCUAAUCCUGGUCGGACAUCAGGAGGUUAGUGCAAUGGCAUAAGCCAGCUUGACUGCGAGCGUGACGGCGCGAGCAGGUGCGAAAGCAGGUCAUAGUGAUCCGGUGGUUCUGAAUGGAAGGGCCAUCGCUCAACGGAUAAAAGGUACUCCGGGGAUAACAGGCUGAUACCGCCCAAGAGUUCAUAUCGACGGCGGUGUUUGGCACCUCGAUGUCGGCUCAUCACAUCCUGGGGCUGAAGUAGGUCCCAAGGGUAUGGCUGUUCGCCAUUUAAAGUGGUACGCGAGCUGGGUUUAGAACGUCGUGAGACAGUUCGGUCCCUAUCUGCCGUGGGCGCUGGAGAACUGAGGGGGGCUGCUCCUAGUACGAGAGGACCGGAGUGGACGCAUCACUGGUGUUCGGGUUGUCAUGCCAAUGGCACUGCCCGGUAGCUAAAUGCGGAAGAGAUAAGUGCUGAAAGCAUCUAAGCACGAAACUUGCCCCGAGAUGAGUUCUCCCUGACUCCUUGAGAGUCCUGAAGGAACGUUGAAGACGACGACGUUGAUAGGCCGGGUGUGUAAGCGCAGCGAUGCGUUGAGCUAACCGGUACUAAUGAACCGUGAGGCUUAACCUU